rnacentral:rRNA from 1 species
GAUGAACGCUGGCGGCGUGCCUAAUACAUGCAAGUCGAGCGAACAGACGAGGAGCUUGCUCCUCUGACGUUAGCGGCGGACGGGUGAGUAACACGUGGAUAACCUACCUAUAAGACUGGGAUAACUUCGGGAAACCGGAGCUAAUACCGGAUAAUAUAUUGAACCGCAUGGUUCAAUAGUGAAAGACGGUUUUGCUGUCACUUAUAGAUGGAUCCGCGCCGCAUUAGCUAGUUGGUAAGGUAACGGCUUACCAAGGCGACGAUGCGUAGCCGACCUGAGAGGGUGAUCGGCCACCCUGGAACUGAGACACGGUCCAGACUCCUAAGGGAGGCAGCAGUAGGGAAUCGUCCGCAAUGGGCGAAAGCAUGACGGAGCAACGCCGCGUGAGUGAUGAAGGUCUUCGGAUCGUAAAACUCUGUUAUUAGGGAAGAACAAAUGUGUAAGUAACUAUGCACGUCUUGACGGUACCUAAUCAGAAAGCCACGGCUAACUACGUG